GAUGAACGCUGGCGGCGUGCUUAACACAUGCAAGUCGAACGGAAAGGCCCUGCGUUUGUGGGGUGCUCGAUUGGCGAAGGGGUGAGUAACACGUGAGUAACCUGCCCUUGACAUUGGGAGAACUUCAGGAAACUGGGGCUAAUACCGGAGAGGAGCUCUUGCUGCAUGGGGGUGGUUGGAAAGUUUCGGCGGUUGGGGAUGGACUCGCUGCUUAUCAGCUUGUUGGUGUGGUAGGCGCUUACCAAGGCUUUGACGGGUAGCCUGCCUGAGAGCGUGACCGGCCACAUGGCGCCUGAGAUAGGCACCAGUAUGGUACGGGAGGCAGCAGGGGGGAAUAUUGCACAGCGGGCGGAAGCCUGAGGUAGAAAUGCCGCGUGCGGGAUGACGGCUUUCGGGUUGUAAACAGCUGUCGAAGGUGACGAAGCGUGAGUGACGGUAAUGGGUAAAGAAGCACCGGCUAACUACGUG
rnacentral:rRNA from 1 species